rnacentral:rRNA from 1 species
UUCAACGAGGAAUUCCUAGUAAGCGCAAGUCAUCAGCUUGCGUUGAUUACGUCCCUGCCCGGUCUGGGAAAUCUUGUGAAACUCCGUCGUGCUGGGGAUAGAGCAUUGUAAUUGUUGCUCUUUGUACACACCGCCCGUCGCUACUACCGAUUGAAUGGCUUAGUGAGGCCUCCGGAUUGGUUUAGGAAAGGGGGUAACCUCAUUCUGGAACCGAGAAGCUGGUCAAACUUGGUCAUUUAGAGGAAGUAAAAGUCGUAACAAGGUUUCCGUAGGUGAACCUGCGGAAGGAUCAUUA